rnacentral:lncRNA from 1 species
UUCUAACGCUUUAUAUCCGAGGAGGACUGCAGAUAGAGCGUGUUUUUAUCGUCUCCUGGCGGUCCCCGGUUCCCGGAUGAAGUCACGGUCAUCGCGACACACGCACGCGCACACGGUGGAACAGGAUGAGCACGAGGCUGAAGGAUGAAGGUCACAUGAGAGCCAUGGCCAGGUUUAAAAACAAAAGGAUGGAAAACUCCAAGCCGGAGUCUGAGAGGGACUCGGGCUUCUCAGACGGCGGCUCGGUGGAUCAGACGGACACAGACGAUGUGUCACGGUCGUCCUCACGAUCGUCGCAGCUGACCGCAGUGGUUGGUGGAGCUCUGCAGGGCCUCUCGCCAAUGAUCUUCAUGAACAAUGUGGUUCUAAAGCAGGUGAACUUCAGACCUUCUGCGUUUGCUUUUGUCCUCAUGGGUCCUUGUGAUUUUUCAGAUGAAUUCCAAUUUAAUGUUUUGCCACGAUUUAAUUUUUUAGAUGGCGAUUUUGAAUAA